CAUUAUUAUGUUUUAGGAGUUAUUUCUAUAGGUUGUUACUGGACGAGGUUCCGUGUAGAGUCCUCGAAGUCCACGAGGAGGCAGGUUCUCCUCUGAGUGUGAAGCCAGCUCUUGGCUUCUGUAACUGCCUUUUGCCUUUGAUGACUGUUCUUUUCCUCUGGAGAAGUAAGUACAGGGAGAGGACGCCAUCCGAGUGGU
rnacentral:snoRNA from 1 species